rnacentral:rRNA from 1 species
GAUGAACGCUGGCGGCGUGCCUAAUACAUGCAAGUCGAGCGAACAGACGAGGAGCUUGCUCCUCUGACGUUAGCGGCGGACGGGUGAGUAACACGUGGAUAACCUACCUAUAAGACUGGGAUAACUUCGGGAAACCGGAGCUAAUCCCGGAUAAUAUAUUGAACCGCAUGGUUCAAUAGUGAAAGACGGCUUUGCUGUCACUUAUAGAUGGAUCCGCGCCGCAUUAGCUAGUUGGUAAGGUAACGGCUUACCAAGGCAACGAUGCGUAGCCGACCUGUGAGGGUGAUCGGCCGCACUGGAGCUGAGACACGGUCCAGGCGCCUACGGGAGGCAGCAGUAGGGAAUCUUCCGCAAUGGGCGAAAGCCUGACGGAGCAACGCCGCGUGAGUGAUGAAGGUCUUCGGAUCGUAAAACUCUGUUAUUAGGGAUAAACAAAUGUGUAAGUAACUAUGCACGUCUUGACGGUACCUAAUCAGAAGGCCACGGCUAACUACGUG